UGCAGAUGCCUUUGAUCCUGGCACUCACUGCCACAGGGACAGAGUCCAGGAGACACAAUGAGAAAAUAUCAGACUGGUGACUCUCAACACAAUCAAGUAGGAAUGGAAGACUGACCAUCAGGCACACCUAGAGCUCACUGUAGUUAAAGAUGACCUUGAAACCCUGAUCAUUCUGCUUUCGCCUGGAAUACUACGAUUGUAGUGUACCUUCACCUCCGGAGAUUCCACCAGAAAACUCCCAGAUGCCAAUAACUGAAGAGAAGCACGGAGCCUGUGAAAUGCCUGUGAAGUCAAGUCCAAUGGCUCGCAAGGAUCCUAAGUGAAUAAAGAGUCUGAGGGGACUUUUUCUGUACAGCUAGUCUCAGCGGGAAAGCAGCUCUGCCUGGGAAGCCCUGAGGGAAAAAGGCCCACAGAUGUGUUUAUGGAGAGGCUUUUGAAACCAGGAGAUCAGUUUGGCCAAAGAUGGAAAAGGAGCUAGCUCUUGAAGCUGCUUCCGAGAGGGGCAGCAGGUGCCAGUUUGUACGUUGUCAAGUUGAGACAAUCCAGAGCCCCAACCCAAAACACUAAGGCAGAUCCAGUGAAACCCGAAGGGCCCUAACAGAGCUAGGCUGGAAAGGAGCCUGUGGGGCCCUUCACGAAUCAGAACCCACAGAAUUCCCACAGUAGUUAGCGACAAAGAAGGGCUGGGAUUGUAGCCCUGUUGGUAGAGUGCUUGCCUAGCGUACACAAGGCUCUGGGUUUGAUUCCUAGCACGUGAUAAGACUGGGUGUGGUGGAUCCUGGUGCAAGAGAAGUGGAGACCUGAGGAAGUUCACUCUCUGUCCUGUCUGUGAAAGUAAGACUGUCUCAACAGAGGUCAGGGGAAGACUGUUGAGAUGGUGACCUGAGUCUCAUCUCCAG
rnacentral:lncRNA from 1 species